AUUGUUAAAAAAUGAAAAAAAUUAUUCUUUUUUAAAUUUUAACUUUUAAACUAUGCUUUGCUCACAAAAAAUAUUAAAAAAAACUUGCAUUCAUGGCGAAAUAAUGAAGUAUAUGGUGAAGAAUAUGAAUCUAGUAAAAGUCAAUCUUAUGUUGACAAUAUUCUGAAAAGUGAAAAAGCAUUAAUGAAGCGUUUUCUAAUUGCUAAAUUAGAUAAAUUUAAUGAAAUAAUUAAUCAAGAAUCAAAAAAAGUUAAAAAAUUGAAAAAAACAGUUCUAAAACAUAAACUCGCCAAUAAUGAAUUAACAAAAAAGAAUUUAGAUUACAAAAAUAUUUUAAAAAUACAACAAGGUGAUUAUAUAAGUAUAUAUAUUGUUAUUAACUUACUUUAUUUAAUUUUACACCUGUUUAAGGCGUCUGGGUAC